rnacentral:rRNA from 1 species
GACGAACGCUGGCGGCGUGCCUAAUACAUGCAAGUCGAACGCAGUGGGGACGGGUGAGUAACACGUGGGUAACCUCCCAUCAGAGGGGAUAACACUUGGAAACAGGUGCUAAACCGAUACUGAUGGAUGGACCCGCGGUGCAUUAGCUAGUUGGUGAGGGAACGGCUCACCAAGGCCACGAUGCAUAGCCGACUUGGGAGGGUGAUCGGGCCAACUGGGACUGGAGCACGGCCCCGACUCCUACGGGAGGCAGCAGUAGGGAAUCUUCGGAAAUGGACGAAAGUCUGACCGAGCAACGCCGCGGGAGUGAAGAAGGGUUUCGGAUCGUAAAACUCUGUUGUUAGAGAAGCGGUAUCUAACCAGAAAGCCACGGCUAACUACGUGCCAGCAGCCGCGGUAAAUAC